GAUGAACGCUGGCGGCGUGCCUAAUACAUGCAAGUCGAGCGAACGGACGAGAAGCUUGCUUCUCUGAUGUUAGCGGCGGACGGGUGAGUAACACGUGGAUAACCUACCUAUAAGACUGGGAUAACUUCGGGAAACCGGAGCUAAUACCGGACAAUAUUUUGAACCGCAUGGUUCAAAAGUGAAAGACGGUCUUGCUGUCACUUAUAGAUGGAUCCGCGCUGCAUUAGCUAGUUGGUAAGGUAACGGCUUACCAAGGCAACGAUGCAUAGCCGACCUGAGAGGGUGAUCGGCCACACUGGAACUGAGACACGGUCCAGACUCCUACGGGAGGCAGCAGUAGGGAAUCUUCCGCAAUGGGCGAAAGCCUGACGGAGCAACGCCGCGUGAGUGAUGAAGGUCUUCGGAUCGUAAAACUCUGUUAGUAGGGAAGAACAUAUGUGUAAGUAACUGUGCACAUCUUGACGGUACCUAAUCAGAAAGCCACGGCUAACUACGUG
rnacentral:rRNA from 1 species